UUGGACAUGGGCGCAAGCCUGAUCCAGCCAUGCCGCGUGAGUGAUGAAGGCCUUAGGGUUGUAAAGCUCUUUCACCGAUGAAGAUAAUGACGGUAGUCGGAGAAGAAGCCCCGGCUAACUUCGUGCCAGCAGCCGCGGUAAUACGAAGGGGGCUAGCGUUGUUCGGAAUUACUGGGCGUAAAGCGCACGUAGGCGGAUAUUUAAGUCAGGGGUGAAAUCCCGCAGCUCAACUGCGGAACUGCCUUUGAUACUGGGUAUCUUGAGUAUGGAAGAGGUAAGUGGAAUUCCGAGUGUA
rnacentral:rRNA from 1 species